CUUGUAGCAGGCUACUAGCCUAUGUAUACUGUAGCUGGUUACUAGCCUAUGUUAUAUUAGAUUUAAGUUAACAGCAUUAUGGUUAACCAUCGAUAGAUACACAUCUAUCGAUAGUUAACCAUAUUGGUGGCUGAGGAGGCUGUCGAUAUGCAACAUGCCAUUUUGAGUAAUAGAAAGAGGAGGAUCGAUACAUUUUAAGCUUGAAUGUGAACAAUAGCAGACGUGUGUAUAUCAAGAAAUUAUGAAAUAAAGAAAUUAAAUAAAAGGCCUACUACAAUCUCAGAAGUGGGAUAAAGUACACUAAUUUUUCAAAUUAAAUAAAAUGAAUUUAAGCAUAAAUGAAAUUAAGCAUAGACGAAGUAUCUGUGGUGCAGUUAAAGAAGUGGCUAGCUGCAUUGGGCUUGUCGACUCAAGGGUGCAAGACUGAACUUGUCGCUCGCCUCAAUGGCGUGCCCGCAAAUUUGCGCGGCAGCGCCCCCGAAGUGGAACAGGGAGAGGAGGAGUCAGAUCAAACUGGAGUAUCGCAGACAGUGCAAAUGCAACAGGAGGAAAUAGACAGGAAUGAGAAUAUUUUGCGAGAGCUAAGUGAGCAGAUCGACGCAGCAAAGAAGCAGCUAAAAAAUUUUCACACACGACAAUUGGACAGAGACGGCAAUAGCAAGCGUGCCGAAAUUAGCGCAAAUGGCGUCGAUGCAGAAGUUGAAUUCGAAGAACGCGCGACUGACGCGCGCCAAAAGGGCGCCAGUGAAAAUUGUGUAAUAAAUACAACGCACAAUGAUGAAGUGAUGUCAAUGAUGUUUAAAUUAGCUAAAGAAAUUAUGGUGGAAUUCACUGGGGAGGAGUCUAUUAGCAACUGGAUAGCGCAAUUGAAUAAUGUAUCUCAAUUAUAUCAACUAACGGACAUGCAAAAAAAGUUGCUAUGCAUGGCCAAAUUAAAAGGGAAAGCCAUGCAAUGGAUACAUGAUGAUUCAUCGAGGAUUGUGCAACCGUUGGGCACAUUAUUGGAUGGAUUGGCAGCAGCAUUCGGAAGCAAGAUAUCCAAGGCCGAAAUGCGUCGCAAGUUUGGGGCACGUAUAUGGAGUGUCGAUGAGAAGUUCACCCAGUAUUAUGAAGAGAAAAUACGUUUAGCAAAGGGAAAUUCGUUUAGAUGUAGACGAGCUACUGGAUGGUCUCAUUGAAGGAAUCCCAAAUGCAGUUUUACGCGCGCAGGCCAGGAUACAGUGCUUUGAAGACCCCAGCAAAUUGGUAAGGGCUUUUGCAGAGGUGCGUUUGCCACUGCAUCGAUCUACUGGAGGAAAAGGGACAACAGCAGUGGGACCAGGGCUCGAUAAUGCAAUGAAGGAGACGCGUUGCUUCAAUUGCAACUAUAAGGGGCAUUGGGCAAGAGAUUGUCAGAAGCCCAAGAGGGAGAAGGGUACGUGCUACCACUGCGGCGCUAAGGAUCAUAUGGUGGCACAAUGCACGAAGAGGAAGGAUGAUAUUGGAAACAAUUUCAAUGCCUCAUAGAUUCAGGAAGUCCUAUUUCGUUUAUUAAAAAAUCGUGUGUCCCAGUUGGAAUAAAACUUAAAGCACACGCAGAAAAUUACUUUGGGCUAAAUGAAAGCCAGUUAAAUGUGAUUGGAAAAACAUUUGUUCAUAUUUUCAAGAAGUUUGAGAAAAUAAAUUUUUGGUUAAUA